CCUAGCAUGGGCUGUUGUGCUGGAGAGAACGAGAGCUACGAAGAGACUACAGUGCCUCUGACUUUUUCAUAGGACAGUUGGCCGAGGAAGACAAACAUAAAGAUGAAGUGCUUAAUUCAAGGUCACACAAUGUCGGGGAUGGACCUCCAGAUUUCCUUACUGGUGAGACGUGGUCUUGUAACACAGUGGUUAAGAAUGUGACUUUGGAGCCAGCCUGCUAGGGGCUGAAUUCUGACUCAGCCAUUUACUAACUGUGUGACCUUAGGUCACAGAAUUUUCCACACUCCUUGACAGAGGUGCUUAACCCUUAUCCAUCAGCAUUCUCAGACAGCACCUCCGGUUAGGGACAGUAUCUGACCGUCCGACAUCCCUGCAGCCCCCAUGUGUCACACAGACUCAGCCUCAGGUAGAUGGUUUCCGUAGAUGGUGGCUUUCUUUGGACCCUUGACAUCAACCAGUUACUAUUUGGUAAGAACUUAAGU
rnacentral:lncRNA from 1 species